GCUAUACAUGCAGUCGAGCGAACAGAUAAGGAGCUUGCUCCUUUGACGUUAGCGGCGGACGGGUGAGUAACACGUGGAUAACCUACCUAUAAGACUGGGAUAACUUCGGGAAACCGGAGCUAAUACCGGAUAACAUAUUGAACCGCAUGGUUCAAUAGUGAAAGGCGGCUUUGCUGUCACUUAUAGAUGGAUCCGCGCCGUAUUAGCUAGUUGGUAAGGUAACGGCUUACCAAGGCAACGAUACGUAGCCGACCUGAGAGGGUGAUCGGCCACACUGGAACUGAGACACGGUCCAGACUCCUACGGGAGGCAGCAGUAGGGAAUCUUCCGCAAUGGGCGAAAGCCUGACGGAGCAACGCCGCGUGAGUGAUGAAGGUCUUCGGAUCGUAAAACUCUGUUAUCAGGGAAGAACAAAUGUGUAAGUAACUGUGCACAUCUUGACGGUACCUGAUCAGAAAGCCACGGCUAACUACGUGCCAGCAGCCGCGGUAAUACGUAGGUGGCAAGCGUUAUCCUGGAAUUAUUGGGCGUAAAGCGCGCGUAGGCGGUUUUUUAAGUCUGAUGUGAAAGCCCACGGCUCAACCGUGGAGGGUCAUUGGAAACUGGAAAACUUGAGUGCAGAAGAGGAAAGUGGAAUUCCAUGUGUAGCGGUGAAAUGCGCAGAGAUAUGGAGGAACACCAGUGGCGAAGGCGACUUUCUGGUCUGUAACUGACGCUGAUGUGCGAAAGCGUGGGGAUCAAACAGGAUUAGAUACCCUGGUAGUCCACGCCGUAAACGAUGAGUGCUAAGUGUUAGGGGGUUUCCGCCCCUUAGUGCUGCAGCUAACGCAUUAAGCACUCCGCCUGGGGAGUACGACCGCAAGGUUGAAACUCAAAGGAAUUGACGGGGACCCGCACAAGCGGUGGAGCAUGUGGUUUAAUUCGAAGCAACGCGAAGAACCUUACCAAAUCUUGACAUCCUUUGACCGCUCUAGAGAUAGAGUCUUCCCCUUCGGGGGACAAAGUGACAGGUGGUGCAUGGUUGUCGUCAGCUCGUGUCGUGAGAUGUUGGGUUAAGUCCCGCAACGAGCGCAACCCUUAAGCUUAGUUGCCAUCAUUAAGUUGGGCACUCUAAGUUGACUGCCGGUGACAAACCGGAGGAAGGUGGGGAUGACGUCAAAUCAUCAUGCCCCUUAUGAUUUGGGCUACACACGUGCUACAAUGGACAAUACAAAGGGCAGCUAAACCGCGAGGUCAAGCAAAUCCCAUAAAGUUGUUCUCAGUUCGGAUUGUAGUCUGCAACUCGACUACAUGAAGCUGGAAUCGCUAGUAAUCGUAGAUCAGCAUGCUACGGUGAAUACGUUCCCGGGUCUUGUACACACCGCCCGUCACACCACGAGAGUUUGUAACACCCGAAGCCGGUGGAGUAACCAUUUAUGGAGCUAGCCGUCGAAG
rnacentral:rRNA from 1 species